rnacentral:rRNA from 1 species
GAUGAACGCUGGCGGCGUGCCUAAUACAUGCAAGUCGAGCGAACGGACGAGAAGCUUGCUUCUCUGAUGUUAGCGGCGGACGGGUGAGUAACACGUGGAUAACCUACCUAUAAGACUGGGAUAACUUCGGGAAACCGGAGCUAAUACCGGAUAAUAUUUUGAACCGCAUGGUUCAAAAGUGAAAGACGGUCUUGCUGUCACUUAUAGCUGGAUCCGCGCUGCAUUAGCUAGUUGGUAAGGUAACGGCUUACCAAGGCAACGAUGCAUAGCCGACGUGAGAGGGGGAUGGCCGCCUCAGAAGGUGAGCGGCGGCCCUGGGACUGAGGGAAGGCAGAGAUAGGAAUGGUACGCAGUGGGCGAGAGCAUGACGGAGUAAGGGCGAGUGAGUGAUGAAGGUCUUCGGAUCGGAAAACUCUGUUAUGAGGGAAGAACAGAUGUGUAAGUAACUGUGCACUUCUUGACGGUACCUAAUCAGAAAGCCACGGCUAACUACGUG